GGAAGUGUGCCCGAACAUAAGGACUACUUUGAUAGAGUAGAAUAUAGUGGUUAAAAUCCACUCAUUUCCU
rnacentral:tRNA from 1 species